GGACUACUGGGGUAUCUAAUCCUGUUUGAUCCCCACACUUUCGUGCCAGAGCGUCAGUUAUUGUCCAGAGUGCCGCCUUCGCCACCGGUGUUCCUCCUAAUAUCUACGAAUUUCACCUCUACAUUAGGAAUUCCGCACUCCCCUCCAAUACUCUAGCUUUCCAGUUUCAAAGGCAAUUCUGGGGUUGAGCCCCAGGAUUUCACCCCUGACUUGGAAAGCCGCCUACGCACGCUUUACGCCCAGUGAUUCCGAACAACGCUAGCACCCUUCGUAUUACCGCGGCUGCUGGCAC
rnacentral:rRNA from 1 species